rnacentral:rRNA from 1 species
UACGUAGGGCGCAAGCGUUAUCCGGAAUUAUUGGGCGUAAAGAGCUCGUAGGCGGUUUGUCGCGUCUGCCGUGAAAAUCCGGGGCUCAACCCCGGACUUGCGGUGGGUACGGGCAGACUAGAGUGUGGUAGGGGAGACUGGAAUUCCUGGUGUAGCGGUGAAAUGCGUAGAUAUCGUUUGGAACGCCAAUGGUGAAAACAAGUAGCUGGGGAUGUGCCGACGCUGAGACACGAAAGCCAGGGGAGCGAACGGG